AUCACUACCGUCUACAUGCACUCCUAUCUUCCUCCGCAAGUUGUUCGCACUGGAAACUUAUCCAGAAUCAUUCGAUUCCAAGUCCAAUGUCAAGUUUUCCACACAAUUUUAGCUGAUAGACAGGGUGUGCAGAUUCUAGCAAGUGCAGAGUGAAAGUGACGUGGACGUGUACAAGUAAUUAAUUGUCCAAUCCAAUUGAAUGUGCUUUCUCCCAAAAUAAUAUUUUGUCAAACCUUGUCACUCAUUGUUUAUUGCUGUUAUCAGGGAACUUAUUCUUAUUAUUUACGGAAUAUUAUAAUAAUGAUCUACGUGGCCCCUUUGCGCUUGAGGAACGAAAAUAAUGGAUGAUGCCCUUGAGGAGCCAAUAUUCCGCUGGACACUACUGCCUCUACUGGAUGACCUAUCUUCUGACGAUGCUCGACUAGAUCUGCCUCUUCCACGACUCAGGACAGAUUCAAUAGAUUCAUUAUCAUCUUCAGUUUCUUCCACCAAAGUGGCUGUAAUAAAUGAAAUGGAUUGUAUUAUAAAUAAAAACAUAAAAAACUCGAA